rnacentral:rRNA from 1 species
UACGGGGGGGGGCAAGCGUUGUUCGGAAUUACUGGGCGUAAAGGGCUCGUAGGCGGCCAACUAAGUCAAACGUGAAAUCCCUCGGCUUAACCGGGGAACUGCGUCUGAUACUGGAUGGCUUGAGUUUGGGAGAGGGAUGCGGAAUUCCAGGUGUAGCGGUGAAAUGCGUAGAUAUCUGGAGGAACACCGGUGGCGAAGGCGGCGAUCCU